GGAGAUAAAGCUUAAUGGUAAAGUACUGGCCUGGAAUUCUUGAGGACCUGGGUUCAAUCCCCAGUUCCUUUC
rnacentral:tRNA from 1 species